CAGCAGCCGCGGGAAUACGUAGGGUGCAAGCGUUAAUCGGAAUUACUGGGCGUAAAGCGUGCGCAGGCGGUUAUAUAAGACAGAUGUGAAAUCCCCGGGCUCAACCUGGGAACUGCAUUUGUGACUGUAUAGCUAGAGUACGGCAGAGGGGGAUGGAAUUCCGCGUGUAGCAGUGAAAUGCGUAGAUAUGCGGAGGAACACCGAUGGCGAAGGCAAUCCCCUGGGCCUGUACUGACGCUCAUGCACGAAAGCGUGGGGAGCAAACAGGAUUAGAGACCCCCGUAGUCCCUGUCUCUUAUAC
rnacentral:rRNA from 1 species